rnacentral:rRNA from 1 species
AUUGAACGCUGGCGGCAGGCCUAACACAUGCAAGUCGAGCGGGGUUUUCGGACCUAGCGGCGGACGGGUGAGUAAUGCGUAGGAAGCUGCCCGAUAGAGGGGGAUACCAGUUGGAAACGACUGUUAAUACCGCAUAAUGUCUACGGACCAAAGUGUGGGACCUUCGGGCCACAUGCUAUCGGAUGCGCCUAAGUGAGAUUAGGCAGUUGGUGAGGGAAUGGCUCACCAAGGCGACGAUCUCUAGCUGGUUUGAGAGGGUGAUCAGCCACACUGGACCUGAGACACGGUCCACACUCCGACUGGAGGGAGCAGUAGGGAAUAGUGGACAAUGGGCGCAAGCCUGAUCCAGCCAUGCCGCGUGUGUGAAGAAGGCCUCCGGGUUGUAAAGCACUUUCAGCGAGGAGGAAGGGUGGUGUGUUAAUAGCACAUCAUUUUGACGUUACUCGCAGAAGAAGCACCGGCUAUCUCUGUGCCAGCCGCCGCCGUAACAC